rnacentral:rRNA from 1 species
AGUGAACGCUGGCGGUAGGCCUAACACAUGCAAGUCGAACGGCAGCACAGUAAGAGCUUGCUCUUACGGGUGGCGAGUGGCGGACGGGUGAGGAAUACAUCGGAAUCUACUUUUUCGUGGGGGAUAACGUAGGGAAACUUACGCUAAUACCGCAUACGACCUACGGGUGAAAGCAGGGGAUCUUCGGACCUUGCGCGAUUGAAUGAGCCGAUGUCGGAUUAGCUAGUUGGCGGGGUAAAGGCCCACCAAGGCGACGAUCCGUAGCUGGUCUGAGAGGAUGAUCAGCCACACUGGAACUGAGACACGGUCCAGAGUCCUACGGGAGGCAGCAGUGGGGAAUAUUGGACAAUGGGCGCAAGCCUGAUACAGCCAUACCGCGUGGGUGAAGAAGGACUUCGGGUUGUAAAGCCCUUUUGUUGGGAAAGAAAAGAAGCAGGUUAAUACCCCGCUGUUCUGACGGUAACCAAAGAAUAAGCACCGGCUAACUACGUG